rnacentral:rRNA from 1 species
GGACCCUUCGGGGAGCCUAUACAGGUGUUGCAUGGCUGUCGUCAGCUCGUGUCGUGAGAUGUUCGGUUAAGUCCGCUAACGAGCGCAACCCUCGUCGUAUGUUAUAUGUGUCAUACGAGACUGCCGGUAAAAAGCCGGAGGAAGGUGAGGAUGAUGUCAAGUCAGCAUGACCUUUAUAUCCAGGGCUACACACACGCUACAAUGGUCUGUACAAUGGGUAGCCAAGCCGCGAGGCGGAGCCAAUCCUGAAAGCAGGCCUCAGUUCAGAUUGCAGUCUGCAACUCGACUGCAUGAAGCCGGAGUUGCUAGUAACCGCAGGUCAGCAAUACUGCGGUGAAUACGUUCCCGGGUCUU